rnacentral:rRNA from 1 species
UGGGGAAUAUUGCACAAUGGAGGGAACUCUGAUGCAGCGACGCCGCGUGAACGAAGAAGGCUUUCGAGUCGUAAAGUUCUUUUAUAUGGGAAGAUAAUGACGGUACCAUAAGAAAAAGCCCCGGCUAACUACGUGCCAGCAGCCGCGGUAAUACGUAGGGGGCUAGCGUUGUCCGGAAUCACUGGGCGUACAGGGUUCGCAGGCGGAAAUGCAAGUCAGGUGUAAAAGGCAGUAGCUUAACUACUGUAAGCAUUUGAAACUGCAUAUCUUGAGAAGAGUAGAGGUAAGUGGAAUUUUUAGUGUAGCGGUGAAAUGCGUAGAUAUUAAAAAGAAUACCGGUGGCGAAGGCGACUUACUGGGCUCAUUCUGACGCUGAGGAACGAAAGCGUGGGUAGCAAACAGG